rfam:Piloderma croceum F 1598 unplaced genomic scaffold scaffold_00016, whole genome shotgun sequence.
GCCCGCCUAGCUCAAUCGGAUAGAGCGUCAGACUUUUAUCUAGGCGGUGCCAUACCGAUUCCAUUAGAUUUGGCAUCUGAAGGCUGCGAGUUCGACCCUCGCGGUGGGCU